AGUGAACGCUGGCGGUAGGCCUAACACAUGCAAGUCGAACGGCAGCACAGUAAGAGCUUGCUCUUACGGGUGGCGAGUGGCGGACGGGUGAGGAAUACAUCGGAAUCUACUUUUUCGUGGGGGAUAACGUAGGGAAACUUACGCUAAUACCGCAUACGACCUACGGGUGAAAGCAGGGGAUCUUCGGACCUCGCGCGAUUGAAUGAGCCGAUGUCGGAUUAGCUAGUUGGAGGGGUAAAGCCCCACCAAGGCGACGAUCGUCAGCUGGUCUGAGGGGAUGAUAGGCCACACGGGAACUGGGCCAGGGUCCAGCCUCCGAGGGGAGGCAGAGUUGGGAAAAUUGGAACAAUGGGCGAAAGCCUGAUCAAGCCAGCCCGCGUGGGUGAAGAAGUCUUUCGGGUUGUAAAGCCCUUUUGUUGGGAAAGAAAAGAAGCAGGUUAAUACCCCGCUGUUCUGACGGUACCAAAAGAAUAAGCACCGGCUAACUUCGU
rnacentral:rRNA from 1 species